CAGCACCUCAAGUGGUCAGGAUGAUUAUUGGGCCUAAAGCAUCCGUAGCCGGCUCUGUAAGUUUUCGGUUAAAUCUGUACGCUCAACGUACAGGCUGCCGGGAAUACUGCAGAGCUAGGGAGUGGGAGAGGUAGACGGUACUCGGUAGGAAGGGGUAAAAUCCUUUGAUCUAUUGAUGACCACCUGUGGCGAAGGCGGUUUACCAGAACACGUCCGACGGUGAGGGAUGAAAGCUGGGGGAGCAAACCGGAUUAGAGACCCGAGUAGUCC
rnacentral:rRNA from 1 species